GCACUGCCCAAGACCACAGUGCAUGCACUACAGUAGGAACAAAACAGAAAAGAUGAACUCGGUCCCCAUGCAAGGAUGGCGUGUGAUUGUGUGGAGCACCCCAUAUUUUC
ensembl:snRNA Gm22235 predicted gene, 22235